rnacentral:rRNA from 1 species
CCUACGGGAGGCUGCAGUGAGGAAUAUUGGUCAAUGGCCGUAAGGCUGAACCAGCCAAGUCGCGUGAAGGAAGAAGGAUCUAUGGUUUGUAAACUUCUUUUAUAGGGGAAUAAAGGUAUCCACGUGUGGAUAUUUGCAUGUACCCUAUGAAUAAGCAUCGGCUAACUCCGUGCCAGCAGCCGCGGUAAUACGGAGGAUGCGAGCGUUAUCCGGAUUUAUUGGGUUUAAAGGGUGCGUAGGUUGUUUUUUAAGUCAGCGGUGAAAGUUUGUGGCUCAACCAUAAAAUUGCCGUUGAAACUGGCAGACUUGAGUGUGUUUGAGGUAGGCGGAAUGCGUGGUGUAGCGGUGAAAUGCAUAGAUAUCACGCAGAACUCCGAUUGCGAAGGCAGCUUACUAAGCCAUAACUGACACUGAAGCACGAAAGCGUGGGGAUCAAACAGGAUUAGAUACCCGGGUAGUC